UUUAUUAGCUUAGAUGUUUUUACUAUAAAAAUUUGCACCUAUUUUAAAAUUACAGAAGUGGAAUUAAGUAAAUAUUAAAUUUUUAGUUAGUCUUACCUUUUGUAUAAUGGUUGAACCAUAAUUAGGUUAAAUGACCUUUCCCGAAUUGAGAAGAGCUAUCUACUGACUUUGUUUGGAAUAUAACAAUUAUGUGGAAAUAUGGUUGGGAGAUCGGUAGCUAGGAGUGAAAUACUUUCAAUUCUCAGGUUAUCUGGUAACCCCCUAAAAGCAUUUAGUGCUGCAAAAAGUUAGGCAUAAAGUGUUCAGAUUUUGUGUCUAUCAGGAUUUGAAAAGUAGUUAUAAUUUCUCUAGGGUUAAACUCCGGGCUUAUUUUAUAGAUAAAAAUCAAUUUUUCUGUUAAAUCUGGUUGAUGGGGGGUAUAUUUUGAAAAUAUUAUCAUAAUUUUAUUAUGUUUAAAUUAGUAAUAAAUAUGUAUUUUAUAGUGUAAUUAGUUUAACACUUUUACUUUUUUGAAAAGUUUAAAUUAGGAAGAAGGAACUCGGCAAAUAUAGGCUUGGACUGUUUAACAAAAACAUAGCCACAAGUUAAUAUUUGUGGUCUAACCUGCCCAAUGUGCAAUUAAAAAGAUGAAUGGCCGCGGUACCCUGACCGUGCUAAGGUAGCGUAAUCAGUUGGCUUUUAAAUGGAGUCAGGAAUGAAUGGAAUAACCGGGUUUAGCUGUCUCCUUUCUAAUUAGUUGAAUUUACUGUUCAAGUGAAAAAGCUUGAAGAAAGAAAAGGGACGAGAAGACCCUUAGAAUUUUUUUUAGUGGGAAAUUUUUUCCUAAUGAUUUUGUUGGGGCGACAUGGAAAUAUAUAAAAACUUUCCUUUAGUACUUGCCGAUUUUGUUAAGUUGGAAUAAAUUACCUGAGGGAUAACAGCAUAAUUCUACAGAUGAGUUUGUGACCUCGAUGUUGGACUAGGGAACUAGCAAGCUAGCCGUUUGCUGUGUGGGUUCUGUUCGAACUGUAAUCCCU
rnacentral:rRNA from 1 species